CAGCUCUGGAGACACACUCAGACAACCGGUUAAUCAGGUUGAUUAACAAGUCUAACUGUCACUGGAGUGUAACAUUUCCUCCUUUUCUUCUACUUUAUUUCUUUAUGCUGACAGGUUGUUUGUGUGACUCCAACCGCUGGAUCUCUUUAGUGGCAUCUCCCAGUCCUACAACGCCCUGAUUUGGGAAUGAUUUCAUCCAAAAAAAAGCAUCAGACCCUCGUAUUUGAGAAGCUGGGACCAGAGCUGUUCUGCAGUUUUGCUCGGGUCCAUGCUGGCAAAGGCUCAUCACAGUUGUGUCUGUCUGACAGGCUGGCUCGCCGCACCACUUUUCUGUGGACACAGCAGUUUCCAGUGAGGGAGUCAGCAGGAACAAAAACAUGCUAUUCCAUGUACAUUGAUAAAAGUGUUGGGGUUACCGAUGGGUGUCUCCUCUAGGAAGGAUUUGGCAUUGAGACUGGCUCCAUGAGACACCAACAGCUCCGCCACCUGCAUCUGAAACAACAACAGCAACUAAUUAUGUUAAUGGUUUCACAAACCUUGUGUGCGCUUAUCUGUUUCCUGCUUCCUGUUAUGUUUACCUUACCUGACCC